rnacentral:rRNA from 1 species
GACGAACGCUGGCGGCGUGCUUAACACAUGCAAGUCGAACGGAAAGGCCCUGCUUGCAGGGUGCUCGAGUGGCGAACGGGUGAGUAACACGUGGGUGAUCUGCCCCUUACUUUGGGAUAAGCCUGGGAAACUGGGUCUAAUACUGGAUAGGACCAUGCUGUAGGUGGUGUGGUGGAAAGAUUAGUUUCGGUAAGGGAUGAGCUCGCGGCCUAUCAGCUUGUUGGUGGGGUAAUGGCCUACCAAGGCGUCGACGGGUAGCCGGCCUGAGAGGGUGGACGGCCACAUUGGGACUGAGAUACGGCGCAGACGCCUACGGGAGGCAGCAGUGGGGAAUAUUGCACAAUGGGCGCAAGCCUGAUGCAGCGACGCCGCGUGGGGGAUGACGGCCUUCGGGUUGUAAACUCCUUUCAGCCAUGACGAAGCCCUUGUGGUGACGGUAGUGGUAGAAGAAGCACCGGCUAACUACGUG